CCAGAGUGGCCUACAGUCCACACCACCGGCCCUGUGGGCCAAGGAAGGAAGUUUGUAGGCAGUCAAGCGGGGGCACAAGUGUCCACAGCCCCAGGCAUCUCCUAUCACCAGAACCUCAUUACAUGGCUACAUUAACAAGGCCUGCUUCAGGGAACGCCAGCGACCUCUCUGGCACAGUUCACCACCGCAGGGCACAGGCAGCAACUCCUGCAUACGUGUGGGUGUGUGUGUCUUGGUGACAGUUCGUGGGCGUGUGCCUGGGUGUGAGCUUCGCAGCGGCGGCGUGUAUUCGAAUGACAGUGUGACGCACACACGCUCGUGUGUGUGCGCGGGUUCGCGCGCGCUUGCCAGGCCAGAGGCAUAAAGUGGCUUCCCUGGAUGGCUCUCCACCUUCACCCCCUACCCAAGGUAGGCAGAGGGAAAAAGUCUCUCAAGCCCCUAGACUUUAAUAACUGACUUAUUCUAUCCUGAGCCAGAUUUAUGAUAAUGCCUGGCUCCCCUGUUCUCCAAACACUAUUCCAGGCCAACCACAAUACAACUUGGAAAAACUGCCCAGACUAGAGCGGCUGGGGCAACUUUAGUUCUGUCGGUCUCUCUGUCUGCCUCCUCUUCCCACUAUCCUGUGGAGGGAGACAGAAGCAGAGUCCCCAAGACCUGACAGCUCCUGGGUGGCUCUCAGGGUAUCAGGGAAGCUUUGCAGAUACCUUCACUCGUCACCAACCCCUCCUGGUCCUCCCUGUGAACACUCCACAUCUGUGCUUUGCCGGAGGCCUGUCUGUCCCCUGGUGAGUCCUUUCUCCCACUUCUGGAUCCCCCCUCAAUCAGUCUCUGGGUCAGAGUCUGAGAGGCCUCUCCCUUGGACCAGCCCAAAGCCCAAAGCAUGAUAGUGUCCCAUGGACCAGGACUGGAGGAGCAGAAAUCCCUCUGCUCCCUAACAAUCUCCCGGCUGAGAGAUGGGAGGUGGAGUGAGUCUGAGGAAGCAGCCAGGCUGGGCUGGGCUGG